rnacentral:rRNA from 1 species
CCUACGGGUGGCUGCAGUGGGGAGUAUUGCACAAUGGGGGAAACCCUGAUGCAGCGACGCCGCGUGAGUGACGAAGUAAUUCGUUACGUAAAGCUCUAUCAGCAGGGAAGAAACACUGACCUUACGGUCAGCAGACGGUACCUGAGUAAGAAGCCCCGGCUAACUACGUGCCAGCAGCCGCGGUAAUACGUAGGGGGAAAGCGUUAUCCGGAUUUACUGGGUGUAAAGGGAGCGUGGACGGUGCGCUGAGUAUGGAGUGAAAUGCCGCAGCUUAACUGCGGAACUGCUUUGGACACUUGCGAACGAGAGUGCGUGAGUGGUAAGCUGCAUACCUAGUGUAGCGGUGAACAGCGUAUAUAUUAGGAGGAACACCGGUGGCGAAGGCGGCUUACUGGACCGUAACUGACGUUGAGGCUCGAAAGCGUGUGGAGCAAACAGGAUUAGAUACCCUGGUAGUC